rnacentral:tRNA from 1 species
GCCCAGAUAGCUCAGUCGGUAGAGCAGGGGAUUGAAAAUCCCCGUGACAGUUAUUCUGUCACAGGUCU